rnacentral:tRNA from 1 species
CAGUAGCUCAGUGGUAGAGCUCUCGCUUCAUAUCGGGCAGACCUGGGUUCGAUUCCCGGCUG